rnacentral:rRNA from 1 species
GACAGAGGGUGCUAGCGUUGUUCGGAAUGACUGGGCGUAAAGGGCGCGUAGGCGGCUUUAUCAGUCGGGCGUGAAAGCCCCGGGCUUAACCCGGGAACUGCGUUCGAUACUGUAAGGCUUGAGUUCAGGAGAGGAAAGCGGAAUUCCUAGUGUAGAGGUGAAAUUCGUAGAUAUUAGGAGGAACACCAGAGGCGAAGGCGGCUUUCUGGACUGAUACUGACGCUGAGGCGCGAAAGCGUGGGGAGCAAACAGG